rnacentral:rRNA from 1 species
GACGUAGGGAGCGAGCGUUGUCCGGAUUCAUUGGGCGUAAAGAGCGCGCAGGCGGUUUGGUAAGUCGGAUGUGAAAACCCGGGGCUCAACCCCGGGCGUGCAUCUCGAUACUGCCCGACUAGAGGUAGGUAGGGGAGAUCGGAAUUCCUGGUGUAGCGGUGAAAUGCGCGGAUAUCAGGAGGAACACCGGUGGCGAAGGCGGAUCUCUGGGCCUUACCUGACGCUCAGGCGCGAAAGCUAGGGGAGCGAACAGG